AGAGUUUGAUCCUGGCUCAGGACGAACGCUGACGGUGUGCUUUAGGCAUGCAAGUCGAACGAGAAAGCCCUUCGGGGUGAGUAAAGUGGCGAACGGGUGAGUAACACGUGGGCAACCUGCCCCUCGCAGGGGGACAACCGGAGGAAACUCCGGCUAAUACCCCGUACGCUUGUUGGAUCGCAUGGUCCGGCAAGGAAAGGUAGCUUCGGCCAUCCGGCGAGGGAUGGGCCCGCGUUGCAUUAGCUAGUUGGUGGGGUAACGGCCUACCAAGGCGACGAUGCGUAGCUGGUCUGAGAGGAUGAUCAGCCACACUGGGACUGAGACACGGCCCAGACUCCUACGGGAGGCAGCAGCCAGGAAUCUUGGGCAAUGGGCGAAAGCCUGACCCAGCAACACCGUGUGGGCGAUGAAGGCCUUAGGGUCGUAAAGCCCUGUUGAUAGGGACGAAGGGCGAAGGGUUAAUAGCCCCUAGCUUGACGGUACCUUUCGAGGAAGCCCCGGCUAACUACGUGCCAGCAGCCGCGGUAAUACGUAGGGGGCGAGCGUUGUCCGGAAUUAUUGGGCGUAAAGAGCGUGUAGGCGGUUCGGUAAGUCUGCUGUGAAACCCUGGGGCUCAACCCUGGGCGUGCAGCGAAUACUGCCGGGCUAGAGGGUGGUAGAGGCGAGUGGAAUUCCGAGUGUAGCGGUGAAAUGCGCAGAUAUUCGGAGGAACACCAGUAGCGAAGGCGGCUCGCUGGGCCACACCCGACGCUGAGACGCGAAAGCGUGGGGAGCGAACAGGAUUAGAUACCCUAGUAGUCC
rnacentral:rRNA from 1 species